rnacentral:rRNA from 1 species
CGAGGGGUGCAAACGUUAUUCGGAUUUACUGGGUGUAAAGGGUGUGUAGACGGUCUGUUAAGUUCGUUGUUAAAUUUUUCAGCCUAACUGAAAGCUUGCGAUGAAAACUGGCGGACUUGAGGGUGAAAGAGAGAAGUGGAAUUCUCGGAGUAGCGGUAAAAUGCGUAGAUCUCGAGAGGAACACCGAUGGCGAAAGCAACUUCUUGGUUCACAUCUGACGUUGAAACACGAAAGCGUGGGGAGCAAACAGGAUUAGAUACCCUGGUAGUCCACGCUGUAAACGAUGAUCACUGGAUGUCAGCUUUGCUUUGCAAAGUUGGUAUCGAAGCUAACGCGUUAAGUGAUCCACCUGGGAACUACGAUCGCAAGAUUA